UACGUAGGGUGCGAGCGUUGUCCGGAAUUAUUGGGCGUAAAGAGCUUGUAGGCGGUUUGUCGCGUCUGCCGUGAAAGCCCAGGGCUUAACCCUGGGUCUGCGGUGGGUACGGGCAGACUAGAGUGUGGUAGGGGAGACUGGAAUUCCUGGUGUAGCGGUGAAAUGCGCAGAGAUCCGGAGGAACACCGACGGCGCAGGCAGCGUCCUGGCCGCUUGCUGACACUGAGGCACGAAAGCUGGGGGAGCAAACAGG
rnacentral:rRNA from 1 species